AUUGAACGCUGGCGGCAUGCCUUACACAUGCAAGUCGAACGGUAACGCGGGGGCAACCCUGGCGACGAGUGGCGAACGGGUGAGUAACAUAUCGGAACGUGCCCUGGAGUGGGGGAUAGCUCGGCGAAAGCCGGAUUAAUACCGCAUACGAUCCACGGAUGAAAGUGGGGGACCGCAAGGCCUCACGCUCCUGGAGCGGCCGAUAUCUGAUUAGCUAGUUGGUGGGGUAAUGGCCUACCAAGGCGACGAUCAGUAGCUGGUCUGAGAGGACGACCAGCCACACUGGGACUGAGACACGGCCCAGACUCCUACGGGAGGCAGCAGUGGGGAAUUUUGGACAAUGGGGGCAACCCUGAUCCAGCAAUGCCGCGUGUGUGAAGAAGGCCUUCGGGUUGUAAAGCACUUUUGUCCGGAAAGAAAACGCGCUGGCUAAUAUCCGGCGCGGAUGACGGUACCGGAAGAAUAAGCACCGGCUAACUACGUGC
rnacentral:rRNA from 1 species